GGGUAGUUUGACUGGGGCGGUCUCCUCCCAAAGCGUAACGGAGGAGCACGAAGGUUAGCUAAUCCUGGUCGGACAUCAGGAGGUUAGUGCAAUGGCAUAAGCUAGCUUGACUGCGAGCGUGACGGCGCGAGCAGGUGCGAAAGCAGGUCAUAGUGAUCCGGUGGUUCUGAAUGGAAGGGCCAUCGCUCAACGGAUAAAAGGUACUCCGGGGAUAACAGGCUGAUACCGCCCAAGAGUUCAUAUCGACGGCGGUGUUUGGCACCUCGAUGUCGGCUCAUCACAUCCUGGGGCUGAAGUAGGUCCCAAGGGUAUGGCUGUUCGCCAUUUAAAGUGGUACGCGAGCUGGGUUUAGAACGUCGUGAGACAGUUCGGUCCCUAUCUGCCGUGGGCGCUGGAGAAUUGAGGGGGGCUGCUCCUAGUACGAGAGGACCGGAGUGGACGCAUCACUGGUGUUCGGGUUGUCAUGCCAAUGGCACUGCCCGGUAGCUAAAUGCGGAAGAGAUAAGUGCUGAAAGCAUCUAAGCACGAAACUUGCCCCGAG
rnacentral:rRNA from 2 species